CCUACGGGUGGCAGCAGUGAGGAAUAUUGGUCAAUGGACGAGAGUCUGAACCAGCAAAGUAGCGUGAAGGAUGACUGCCCUAUGGUUUGUAAACUUCUUUUAUAUGGGAAUAAAAUGUUCCACGUGUGGGAUUCUGUAUGUACCAUAUGAAUAAGGAUCCGCUAACUCCGUGCCAGCAGCCGCGGUAAUACGUAGGCUCCGAGCUUUAUCCGGAUGUAUUGGGAUUAAAGGGAGCGUAUGUGGAUUGUUAAGUCAGUUUUGAAAGUUUGCGGCUCAACCGUAAAAUUGCAGUGGAGACUGUCAGUCUUGAGUACAGUAGAGGUGGGCGGAAGUCGUGGUGUAGCGGUGAAAUGCUUAGAUAUCACGAAGAACGCCGAUUGCGAAGGCAGCUCACUGGACUGCAACUGACACUGAGGCUCGAAAGUGUGGGUAUCAAACAGGAUUAGAUACCCGUGUAGUC
rnacentral:rRNA from 1 species